rnacentral:rRNA from 1 species
AGUGAACGCUGGCGGUAGGCCUAACACACGCAAGUCGAACGGCAGCACAGUAAGAGCUUGCUCUUACGGGUGGCGAGUGGCGGACGGGUGAGGAAUACAUCGGAAUCUACUUUUUCGUGGGGGAUAACGUAGGGAGACUUACGCUAAUACCGCAUACGACCUACGGGUGAAAGCAGGGGAUCUUCGGACCUUGCGCGAUUGAAUGAGCCGAUGUCGGAUUAGCUAGUUGGCGGGGUAAAGGCCCACCAAGGCGACGAUCCGUAGCUGGUCUGAGAGGAUGAUCAGCCACACUGGUACUGGGGCACGGUCCAGACUCCUACGGGAGGCAGCAGUGGGGAAUAUUGGACAAUGGGCGCAAGCCUGAUCCAGCCAUACCGCGUGGGUGAAGAAGGCCUUCGGGUUGUAAAGGCCUUUUGUUGGGAAAGAAAAGCAGCAGGUUAAUACCCCGCUGUUCUGACGGUACCCAAAGAAUAAGCACCGGCUAACUUCGUG